ACUUGAUGAUGGGGGAGGGAAAGUGAUUGACUGGGCCUUUGAGACCGUGCCAGGAACCAAGAGCCAGGGCAGUGGCCGAGGGGAGAGCCAGGUAGGACAAUGAAGGCAGAAGCCUGGCUCCCUACAGCUCGGCUCGGCGUGUGGAGCAGGCUACAGAAUUUGCUGCAGUGGCGGAGAGCGGGGGUGCGGAGGGCCCUGUCUGGCACAGCCUGUGGGUUUGAAAGGAGCGGGGCGGUUGGAGAAUGCCAGGCAGCCUUUGUAGCUCUGAGCUCAGAGACAACACUGGGCUUCACGGCAGAAGCCUGGCUUGGGUGGCUUUUGGAGAAAUCUUCCCUCUGCUCCCAAACGGUUACAACGCGUUCAUCUCACCACGGGCCUCCAAUCGCAGCAUCAGCACGUGUCCCGGAGGCCGUCCUCCAGCAGGGGUUUCAGCAGUGGUACCUGCUGGCCGACUAAUGGGGCCCUUUCCCUCUCCUCUUCCUUAGAGACUGUAAACUGGGCUGAAUACAAUGUCUUUGCAUAUUUCUGGUCACCCUUCCCACAUGCUUCACACCUCCCAGACUCCUGGAGUUAAUCCCCAAGACAACCUUGCUUUGAAAGAAAAAAUGUGGUGAGCCUACUUGACGUUUUGAAUCCCAGAUGCCUCUGGUCUGUCCUGCCUCAGCCAAACCCCAGACACUGGGCUCAAGGAGCUGGAUGUUUACAGAGGAAGGAGCAGUAAGUUCUUGUUGUUGUUUGUUUCAAGGCUUGAUCGCUCUCCAGAAUUAGGAUCCCCCAAAGCAUGAGUUUUUCUUUUUUCUUUUUCCUUUUCUUUCCUCUCUUUUUUCCUUUCUUUCUUUCUCAGCAAAAUGUAAUAAUAUCCCCUUCCCAUCCUGGGGGUGAUUCGGAGAAGCAUUGAAUUUGGAAGUCCUCCCUCACUGGCGCUUGUAACCGGGGUGAGCAGUAGCUGAAGUGGAUCGCGGUGUGCCUGUUCUCAGCAUCCUGAUAUUUUGAAAUGUAUCUGCAUUUGUGAAAAUAAUUGGGACUGAUGGUUCUUCUCCAGAAUAAAUCCUGCAUAACUGACUGAUUGAUUGUUGUCAUGACCAGUCUGUCCCAGGAUUGGUGCGGAUGUGGUCGUUGGGGAUUUUUGUGCAUAUCUGCUGCUCAUCAAAGGGAAGGGUAGACAGACUAUGGAGCGAGGGUGUGGUCCGGCUGAUGCAGCUUCCUUCCCGGCCCAUCUCUGACUCCUGCCUUCUGCUCCUCCCUCUCCCACUGGCUCCUCUGAUCCAUCCCGAGCCGGCUGUCAAUGAAACAGCAUCUCCCAUUCUUUCCUGUGUUAGACUCGGUCAGGUAGGAGACCGUUCCCCAUGGCCACACUCAUCACCUUUGUGAUCUCAGCACAUUUUCGGUCCAGUUGAAAUCUGUUCCCUCAGCUUCCCCCAUCCUGGGAUAUUAGUCAGCAUGGCAGUAACAAUAAUAAUACUGCAUUUAGAAGUUCUCUGGCACAUUUCAUCUCUGCGAGUCUUACAGAUGUUAAGUGAUUAAUCUUCACAACACUCCAUGCAGGAGAGGUAAAUAUUAUUAACCAGAAUGGAAUAUACAUCUCUGUGUAUAUGCCAAGGACGACAAAGUAGUUCACUUAUUUAUCAUGGUUCACUUGAUAUAGUAACUGGUAUUUUUAAAACACCCAUCAUACAUACAAUAAUUAGAGAUGUGCUUUUGUUAACAAAACCACUACCCACUUCUAGCGUACCCUUGGGUACUAAAUAAUUACCCUCUUUGUGUGGUUAUCUAGCUCACUAAUUACCCACAGAAAUUGGGGUCAGGUGUUAACUGCUUGAAAUAAGUAUCCUCCAAAGACAUCGCUGAGUUGUACAGAGAAAAUGAUGUGUUCAUAGCAAAACUUCUAUAAGUUCCGUAUUUGUAUGUCUUGGUAAGCAGAGUGGAUACAGACAGGGACAAAUGAGCUCCGUGUGUGAAAAUCAUGCUGGACUAUUGUUGCGAGUAUCUAGAUGUUUAGGAGAAUCUCGGGAAAUUCCAUUCUCUGUCUACCUUUCCUUUCUGAAGACGAGCGCAGAGACAGGAUUCCCGCAGUAUGGACUUCAUAUACGAGCACACGAAGACAAUCGAUACUUCUCACUAGGAAUGAUUCAUUUUGGUGGUACAGGGAGGCACCCAGUGAGUCAAGGAUUUUUUUUUUUUUUUGACAGCUCCACCCUUUAUGAUUAUUCUGGCAUGUUUCUUUUUCUCCAUCAUUCUAGUGCAAACACCCUAUUAGCCAAAUCCAAAAAAGAUUCUAACCCAGUCUCCAGCCCCUGCCAGCCAUCUCUUUCUCCUUCCCAAUAAUGACAAAAAGAAAAACAAAGUAUUAAAGGAAAUCCAACACUCUCGAUGGCAAGUCUUUCUCUUUUUGCCUCGAUUUGUUCUGCUUUCCUCUCUUCUCUUCUCCUCCCCGUCCCUUCUUCCUCUCUCUGUGUCUCCUCCUCCUGUGUGCUUUUUCCUCUCCUUUUCCUCAGCACCCAGCCGUGCUCCUGCAGGUCUCACAAUCAGAGACAAAGCCCAAUAUCUGAGUUGAGCACAAAGAAGCUACCUUUUAAAAACAGCCACUUGGAAGUAACCUGCAUCCUUAGCUCCCCUCCUCCCUUCCUCGCUAUUUACAGAACCCGACAUCCUACUGAACACAGCACUGCCUGUUGUCUGCAUGAUCCUAGCCACAAGAAUGAGAUUAAGAUGACAGUAUACCCACUGUGUGUACGGAUAGGUAGAGACCCCAGUUUUCAAGAGAUAUGUGCUUUACAGGAUCAUUGGGAAGCCGAGCUUUUAAAAUGCGUGCCAACGAUGGGAGAUGCUCCCUUAGUCAGUUCAAGAUGUCUUUCAUAUUUUUUUUGCCAGUUUUUUUUUUUUAUCAUUUGAAUGAUGAGUUAUCAUUAUUGAGGGACUUCUGGCUGAUCACUGAAGUGUGUGUGGAUCUGAUGGACAUUCAAGAAGUCUUCAGGAAUAAGGAAAAUGUCUGCAGCAGAAGCGAAGCGUCAGGAUGAGCUGCGGUGACUGAUAAGUUCAUCUCAAAUCCAAGGGAACAUAAGUGGCAAAUGAGUACACAUGGCAAACAGAGUCAACGCGCACAACACAGCCAUUGAAAAGAAAGAGAUUUUUAGCAUUGCAGUCAUCACACGCCUCAAUAGAACGUCUGCGUAUUUUAAAUAUGGAUUUGAAUCACCGCUGUUUUGUCCCUCUACAUGUCAAUUUCAAAGAAGUAUUUAGGCUUUGUUGACUUUCUGUCCAUAAAGAAAAUCCACCAAGAUUCGCCAGAUACAUCACCUGCACUCGUACAUGCAUGCAUGUUUUAAAUGCCCACGGGAUGCGGAACAAUUAGGCAGAGAACUGCGCUGUGGUCUCUCCUCCUCACUUCUUCCCCCAUCCCCCCCUUUUUUUCCCCCCUUUUAGAAAAUGUGAUACCUGAUCUCUGGGUCUAGCAGGCUGAGGAUUUUUUGUAUUUGUAUAAUACAAUGUCUGGCCUUCCCCCUGACCUGCUGGUGUAUUUUUGGUCUCAUUAGUAGUCAGGGAGAAGCCUUGGUGCAUCCGGUGCUGGGAGUCAGGGAUGAGACACACGACAAGGGAGAGAGGGAGCGAGCGAGAGGAUGUUAGAAGAGAGGCUUGUCUCCAAGAUAUGGAAGGAAGGAAGAAAUGACAGGACUGCAAGCUUCGUCGUACUGAGGAGCCUGGCAGGGCGGGGGAGCGGCGAGGAGAGCGAAGUGGGUUCUCAGAAGCCAUAGAGGAGCUAAAGGUGAUUACAGGGGGAUAUUGAUUCCCUUUUCUGCCAGAGAUUUAAGCAGGCAUGCGAGGAAUCUGCACCAUGGUUGGCAAAAGGAGACCCAUUGCCUCCUGUAACCAGACACUCGGGCUUUCCAGGAGCCUAGGGAGAGAGCCGAGAAGAAAGGGGGCAGUGUGGUCUAGGAAAAUUCAACUUGUCGCUGAUUUGUGCCUGAUGCUUGCUGUCCGUCAGCAGCCUCCCUUACAAUCUUUUUUUCUCUCUCUCCCUUUUUUUUCUUGCCUUCUCCUUCUUCACUGAAGCCUAGGGGAGCCAGUAAAGAUUAAAUGUGCUUUCUCAAAGGCAGCCACUUCAUGCUGCUAUGUCGAAAGGGCCAUUAUUAUUAUUUUUUUUUAAUAGUAAAAGGAAAAGGGAGAGAGGUUGAGCGAGAGAGCGCGAGGCUAGGUAGGAUGAUGACGGACUAGCUUUUCUGGGAGGAAAAGGGAAAGGGAAGGGAGAGGAAGAGGAGAGACCCUGAGCUGAACGGAGGACUGUGCCUGAGAAGAACCUACAGAGGCUGGAAUAAAAGAAGAAGAAAAAAGAAAAGAAAAGAAAGAAAGAAAGAAAAAGGGGAAGAAAAAAAUUUUAAGAGAGUCAUCUUCCCACCCACCUCCCCUCCCUUUCGUCUCGUUUUUGGAGGCGGCGCAGGAGCGGUCUUUGCGCAGGGAGCUGGGCGUCCCGGCAGACGGGGAAAGCGACGGUCCAUCAGGUACAGAACCAGUGGCUGUCUGCGAAGAUGGAGGGGAAUUAAGCUUCGGAUGCCUCCGAAAUAUUGGCAGAAGGCUUCAAAGGAUCCGCGGCAGGAGUGGGGCGGGGGAGAUGCGCCUCCCCAGCUCGCACCCACCCCUUCCCACUCGCCUGGACCGAGUGACAGCCUGGUGCUGGCUCGGGGUGACUUGGCCUUGGCUUCAGCCAAGCAGCUGAUGCAGAGGAGGCCCCGUUCGCAGGACUGGCAAAGUGCACGCGAAAGGAAGAAGGAAGGGAUUCGGAAAAGCAAUCCUGGGGAGGGUUCUCAUUCUUACAAAAGCAUUUAAAAGAAAAAUUUAACAGAAUAUUCUCCGAAUUUGAUCAAUCCCAGUCUUUCCCUCCACUCCCACCGAACUGCCUCCCCCCACCCCUCGUCAAAGCAUAAACUACAGAGUUACAGUCUCUAGGUUUGGUGUAUCGCUUCCUGCCCCCGCCUCCCCCUCCCCGCCCAGUUCUGGGUCCUCUAUUGAAACACCUCGCCCGGGCGGAGCGCACUGCGAGCUCCCAUCUCCCCCCCCCCCCACCCCCCUUGCUGGGAACGGUGCUCCCGGAGGCUGCAGCCCUGCUCCACUUCCAGUGGGGUGAUUUGCGUGGUGCUCUCGAACACGCUCAGGCAGUGCUGCUGCUUGACUGAUUCUUGAACAAGGUGAGCCACAAGAAAGAGCCCCGUCUUUCUGGUGACGCAGCACUUCACUUGUAGUUAGAAGUAGCACGGCCCCCAGACUGUCGUUCCAUCUCUGUAUUAAAGAGUCAAUGUGAUAACUCUCUGUGACAUGUUCUGUUAUUUUUUUAGUUGUAUUGAUGUUCCUUUCAGCUGGCCCUAUAGUCCCCCCUCCUCAGGAAUGUCUCCCCAGUGAAAGGACACAGACUGCAGAGAAUGCUGCACUGAUGGACGCUCAAGUCAACUGUGAAGCUGAAACAAAGAAAGUGGUCACCUCUCCUGCGCUCCUCUCCUGCUAAGCGACACACCCACACGGUGCAGUUUCAGCCAAUGGGAUCUCAGAACAAGAUGCAAUCUUUUCAAGAAACAGAAACACUUCAUAAUGCCGUCUAGAUUUCUCAUGAGCCAAGGACAUUCCCUUCCUCGUGUGUAUUCCUCUGUUUGUAUUUAAAUGCUGUGUGACCUUCAUUUAAAAUUUUUUUCUAGUAUGAAUAUGCUCAUUGACGCACGAGUUUUUAAAAUAGAAAACCGCACAAAUGUGUUCAUGUUUUAAGGAACAAAAUUCGUGCUCUAGGUAGAUUGGAUUUUAGCCACACCCAAUUUGAUCUUAAGAAUGACCUAAGGAAUAUAAAGUUCUUUUGAAAUAACAAAGUUGUCGGGGCAAUCCGGAGGAUAAAGUAAGGGUGGGAACUCAGAAUGCAGCAUAGAAAUAUGCUAUCCCACUGACACCAAUCAAUCAAGCAUUCUUUGUAUCAAGCAAACUUCUGUGAGACACAGUCACUGCCUCGGAAGAGUUUUAAUCUUGUCAGAUAGAGGUGGGUAAACUUUUGAACAGCUGAGUAACGGAUCAAAUCAUUAGAUGCUAAGACCAAAACCAAACUGAAACCAAAGAUUUAAACAAGGAGCUCGGAGGAGGUCACCUUCACCUGGACAAACUGGUCUGUUCAGGGAGGGAAGUUCCCAAAGGAGGAAAAUAAAAGGUGAAUCUUAAUGGCUGGUAAAGAUGUAGAUAAAUGGAAAGGAAGGAGAAAAUAGAGCCCUUUAGAUGGGUGCAAUAUUGUGCACAAAGUCAGGGAAGAAGCAAUCUACAUGGUGAUUUUAGGAAAUUAUGAAUGCAUGUAUCUUGUUGACUUCAUCCCAGACUUUCAGUGCCGGUGUGUACGUGUGUAUAUGGUAAAGACUUCGCACACACGCGUUCCCUCUCCCACCCCAGGUGCAGCCUAGAAUUACAGUUGCAUUUCUUCCGUUAAAGCAAGUGAGAGUGACUUGUGAUGUUAUGAGAACUUGUGAUUUUUCUGUUAACCUAGAACAAUCUAUAUUUAGUGCGUUCUCACUAUAAGCAUUUUACGUACUAACUCCCUUAAGCCUCACAACAACCCUGCAAAGUGGGUGUUUGUAUUAUUCCCAUUUUACAAUAAGAAAACUGAGCCUCAGUGAAAUUAAGUAACUUGCCACACUGGCACAUCCAGGGUUCACAUUCAGAACUGGGAUUGCAAAGCCCGUGAACCAGAGCACCCAGUCACCAAAUUGCUACCAAUAUCACAGUGUUACCACUUCUAUAUUCCUUAAUGUUUGCCUGUGGCAAACGAGUUGCUAUUUUAUUUAUCUUCUCAAAUUUUUCAGUUUUCUGGCUAAAUUAUGCUAGAGUGAGGGAAUGUAUUUUCAUAAUUGAAACUGAAAAAAUUGGGGAAUAGAGUUUAUCAGCAUUUUAGACUUUUUUUUGGCGGGGGGCAGACUUUGAUGUGUCUGUGCACUUUGGUCAGCAUGAAAUCACAACUGCUUGAGAAUAAAAAUAGCAGGUGGAGAGAGCUUAAAGGUCAUCUAUCACAGUGUCCUUUUCUGUAGAUGUGAUGUGAUAAAUCCAUGGAGUAGAGUCAGGUCCAGGAGCCACGCCCUCACAGGCUCUUGGAACUACUCCACCCCCACCUCAGUGAAGGGUGAGCUUGGCGUUGAUCAGUGAAGACGUUCUCAUCUGGGUGGUCAGGGAGCUUCGUACCUAGUAGAUUGCUUCAACUUUGUACCUCUGACUUCUUACCUCAAUGUGAAAAGUAACUAGCUAUGAACUGACAUCUUUAGAUUCAGAGAUGGUCAGUGGUCCAGCCGCAAAGACCACUUAAUGGCCCAAGUUAUGUGUACAAUGUCUUCAGUGAUACUUCUUAAGUUAUUUGGAAUUCUUAGUUCACCUAAACAAAUCAGAACUCCUGAUACGUGUUUCCUUAACCAACUGUAUGCGCGGCAUAAUAUUUGUAAUAGCUCCUACCUAUACAUUUAAACAUGACUGUUUCGAGAGUCCUUGUGCUUUUGAAAAUAUCAGUGGUUAUUUGCUAUUUUAAUCCUCAUUUAUCCGUAUAACUAAGUCAAGAAUACUUCAGUCAUAAGAAGCUAGAAUUGAGGAAACCUCACUCUUCCUUACCAGCCCCUUUGCCUUCAGUUGGCAUUUAGUAAUGAUUAAUAAAGUGGGCAGCUGGAGAGCACAGAGGUUCAAAAUGCAAUUCCGUCUUGAAGGAGUCAGUUCAGCUGUGUCUACUAAAGGGCAGACGUCUGGAUGUUUAGGAGUUACCUGCAGAGCUGGCUGUUGUAAAUUUCCACUCAGCUAUCUGGCGCUGUUGGACGUAGACCUCCUGGUGGCUCAGGUCGUCCUGUUUUCAAAAUGAGGAUCAUUGGCCAUCUCACACAGUUCUCAUUAAGUGAGUUCAUAAAUAAACAGUUUUUUUUUUUAAAGAGUAGCCAAGCACAAAAUGUGACUUUGUUGACAUUUUAUGAGAUUUUGUCAUGUGUCCCCUGAACCCCCAAUAAAAGCAAUGUUGCAUCAGCUGUGAA